UACAGAGGUCUCAAGCGUUGUUCGGAUUCAUUGGGCGUAAAGGGUGCGUAGGCGACGCGGUAAGUCGGGUGUGAAAUCUCGGAGCUUAACUCCGAAACUGCAUUCGAUACUGCCGUGCUUGAGGACUGGAGAGGAGACUGGAAUUUACGGUGUAGCGGUGAAAUGCGUAGAUAUCGUAAGGAAGACCAGUGGCGAAGGCGGGUCUCUGGACAGUUCCUGACGCUGAGGCACGAAGGUCAGGGAGCAAACGGG
rnacentral:rRNA from 1 species